rnacentral:rRNA from 1 species
UCAAGUUAUUAAGGGUGCAGGGCGGAUGCCUUGGCACUAGGAGCCGAUGAAGGACGUGAUAAGCUGCGAUAAGCUUCGGGGAGUUGCACGUAAACUUUGAUCCGAAGAUUUCCGAAUGAGGAAACUCACUUAGAGUAAUGUCUAAGUAUCAUUAAGUGAAUACAUAGCUUAAUGAGGGGAACUCAGGGAACUGAAACAUCUAAGUACCUGAAGGAAGAGAAAGAAAUUCGAUUCCGUAAGUAGCGGCGAGCGAACGCGGAUUAGCCCAAACCAAUAAAGUUUUCUUUAUUGGGGUUGCGGACAUAUCAUAACGAAGAGGUAUCGUAAUUGAAGAGGUUUGGAAAGACCCACCACAGAAGGUAAUAGUCCUGUAUGUUAAACGAGAAGACUUCAGAUAUGAUCCAGAGUACCACGGGACACGUGAAACCCUGUGGGAAGCAGGAGGGACCACCCUCCAAGGCUAAAUACUACCUAGUGACCGAUAGCGUAUAGUACCGUGAGGGAAAGGUGAAAAGAACCCCGGGAGGGGAGUGAAAUAGAACCUGAAACCCUGCACUUACAAGCUGUGGAAGCACAUUUCUUGUGUGACCGCGUACUUUUUGUAGAACGGGCCAACGAGUUACGUUAAGUAGCAAGGUUAAGCACUUAAGGUGCGGAGCCGUAGCGAAAGCGAGUUUUAACUGAGCGUUCAGUUACUUGACGUAGACCCGAAACCGGGCGACCUACCCAUGAGCAGGAUGAAGCGAAAGUAAAAUUUCGUGGAGGUCCGAACCCACGAGCGUUGAAAAGCUCGGGGAUGACUUGUGGGUAGCGGUGAAAUUCCAAUCGAGCCCGGAGAUAGCUGGUUCUCCCCGAAAUAGCUUUAGGGCUAGCCUCAAGGUGAGAGAUACGGAGGUAGAGCACUGAAUGUCCUAGGGGGUAUUGCACCUACCGAAGACUAUCAAACUCCGAAUGCCGUCAUCUUAUACUUGGGAGUCAGACUGUGGGUGAUAAGAUUCAUAGUCGAAAGGGCAACAGCCCAGAUCGUCAGCUAAGGUCCCUAAAUGUAAGUUAAGUGGUAAAGGAUGUGGGAUUGCACAGACAACCAGGAUGUUGGCUUAGAAGCAGCCACUCAUUCAAAGAGUGCGUAAUAGCUCACUGGUCGAGUGAUCCUGCGCCGAAGAUUUCCGGGGCUAAAACUUACUACCGAAGCUACGGCAUCAGUAAUGAUGGGUAGGGGAGCUUCCCAUACGGGUUGAAGCAUGACCGUAAGGACAUGUGGACAGUAUGGGAGUGAGAAUGUUGGCAUGAGUAGCGAGAUGUGGGUGAGAAUCCCACAGGCCGUAAACCCAAGGUUUCCAGGGGAAGGUUCGUCCGCCCUGGGUUAGUCGGGACCUAAGCUGAGGCCGAAAGGCGUAGGUGAUGGACAACAGGUUGAUAUUCCUGUACUACCGAUAACCGUUUGAGAGAAGGGAUGACACAGUAGGAUAAGCUAAGCACACUGUUGGUUAUGUGUGCCCAAGCAUUGAGGCAGUCAAAGUAGGCAAAUCCGCUUUGAUAAUGCUGGGAUGUGAUGGGGAGCGAAAUUUAGUAGCGAAGUAGCUGAUUUCACACUGUCAAGAAAAGUCUCUAUCGAGGUUAAAGGUACCCGUACCGCAAACCGACACAGGUGGGUGAGGAGAGUAUCCUAAGGCCAGCGAGAGAACUGUUGUUAAGGAACUCGGCAAAAUGACCCCGUAACUUAGGGAUAAGGGGUGCCACCAUCAGGUGGCCGCAGAGAAUAGGCCCAAGCGACUGUUUACCAAAAACAUAGGUUUCUGCUAAGUCGCAAGACGAUGUAUAGGAGCUGACGCCUGCCCGGUGCUGGAAGGUUAAGGGGAUCUGUUAGAGCAAUCGAAGCAGUGAACUUAAGCCCCAGUAAACGGCGGCCGUAACUAUAACGGUCCUAAGGUAGCGAAAUUCCUUGUCGGGUAAGUUCCGACCCGCACGAAAGGCGUAACGAUUUGGGCACUGUCUCAACAACAGACUCGGUGAAAUUGUAAUUCCGGUGAAGAUGCCGGAUACCUGCGACAGGACGGAAAGACCCCAUGGAGCUUUACUGUAGCUUGACAUUGGGUCUUGGUACUACAUGUACAGGAUAGGUGGGAGGCUUUGAAACCAGGACGCCAGUUUUGGCGGAGCCAUCCUUGGGAUACCACCCUUGUAGUACUGGGACUCUAACCAUAGGCCAUGAAUCUGGUCUUGGGACACUGUCAGGUGGGCAGUUUGACUGGGGCGGUCGCCUCCCAAAAGGUAACGGAGGCGCUCAAAGGUUCUCUCAGUACGGUCGGAAAUCGUACGUAGAGUGUAAAGGCAAAAGAGAGCUUGAUUGCAAGACAUACAGGUCGAGCAAGGAUGAA